UCACGCAAGUCCUUAUAUGUUUGGUGCUAUGCGCUAAAAGCGUCUUAUGGAUAGCUUGAAGGACGAACGCAUUUUGAUUAGAAGCACACAGAUUAGAAAGGGCGGCGCGCCGCUUGAAGUGAUAUUAGUAAUAAUUCGCAAUGUUAUUACCUUUAGAAUGUUUCUUUUAUUGGAUUCAAUAAUUUUUGUCAGGAUAUUUACCAGAAAAAUUAUGAGCACUUUGUUUACUCCCAGGGUGCCUAUUUUCAUAGCAGCCGCUGGUAUCUCCUAAUGCACACGCCCUUCAAUGAUUUCUUAGUACAAAACACGAGACUAGCGUAUCACGCAAUUAGCGAGAUACCACGCGAAGUCACUCACUGUAGAGCUUCUAUGCACUAGUGCACCUCAGACGUCGCUAUUUUCUAUCCCACGCUGUGCGCAUGAGCCGUAGCCACUUUCAGUGCAUCCUAAUCAUUUGCUGCGGACGGACAGAAAAUUUACCUGCUGUAUUUUCUCUUACAGCUGGCAACACUUCGCUUCCUAGAGACAUCGCACUUCACCAUCUCGUCGCUACUCAUUCUGCUUGGCACAACCAAAGAAACCAUCAACGCCAGGUUUUGCACAAGCCCAUCAUUCUGGUGCCGGCCAGUAAUCCAAUUCAGCACAGGCGCCCCUUCCUACCAUGUCGGCCUGUAUGACCUGUUACGGCACACCCUACUACUGGGCAACAACGGUAGCCGUCAUGGGGAUCGCCCGGCUGGCAUUUCAACAGAGGCUGCAAGCACACUUCGCAAACCACAUCAACGAGGUGCCGAUAAAUCUACAGGCGUGGAGCUACAACCACGCGCGGCCAUGUUCUCUAAUGCUGCUGUGGUUGCGCUUCCCGCCCUAAACGCCGAAGACUUCGGAAUCAUCCACGGCGUCCUCGUGCUCAUCCAUGUGUACUACGAGUACAGACGCCUCAAAACGACGGUGCAGCUGUUUUCGUCAAUUGACACCAACGUUUACAAGCUGGCAACACUUCGCUUCCUAGAGGCGUCCUACCUCACCCUCUGAUCCCUACUCAUUUUACUUGGCGCCACCAAAGAAAUCAACGCCAGCUAUUGCACGAGCUCAUCAUUCUGGUGCCGGCCAGUAAUCCAAUUCACUCGUACCUUCUUUGUGGAGAAGGAACUGUUACUUCACCAUUUUUCUUCACCAUUCUCGUCUUCAUCUGCCCCAACAUUUAUGUUUGUUUUUGUUGCUUUCACCAAAGGUGCGAAAAAAAUAAACCACUACAAAAACAUGAUAAUCAUCAUCACCAUUUUUGUUGUGUGUGCAAUAUUUCCUAAAUAAACAGUCAACACACAGACAUAAAUGCAAUAUUAUACACUCUAAACAUUUUUACACCUUUAUGGGUGUAUAAAGGGUGUUGGUUGUCGCAUGGCUAACACCCUCACGUUUAAGGGAUAAGAUAAAAUUCUUGGCGGGAACUAUGAUGGCGUUUUGUUUGUCGACUUUUUCUUGCUAGUAAAAAUGAUGACAGCUGUGACAGGUGACAUAAAAAGUGCAUUACAGUUUCAUAUCUAUCCCUGUGAAAUUCUAUCGGAUAUUUCUGUGUGCCCUAGGCUAUUGAAUGAUGACAUAGUUUUUCAACUAGGUCUUUUGUCAUCGCAUGUCUAGUUAGAGUUCCGUUGUCGUCCUCUAUAAAGUUUUGUAAUGCCCUAACAGUAGGGGUGUUAG